AACGAACGCUUUCUUCCUGCCUAACACAUGCAAGUCGAACGAGACCUUCGAGGCUAGUUGCGCAAGGGUGCGUACCGCGUGGUAACUUGCCCUUAGGUUCGGAACCCUUCACCGCAGGGGGUGCUUGUACCGGUUAAUCUCUUCGCAGCAAGGAUUAAUCGCUAUUGGAUGGGCGCGCGCGUGUUUAGCGAGUUGGUAGGGUAAAAGCCUACCAAGGCUACGAUCCAUAGCUGGUCUGAGAGGAUGAUCAGCCACAAUGGGACUGCGACACGGCCCAGACUCCUACGGGAGGCAGCAGUGGAGAAUAUUGGACAAUGGGCGAAAGCCUGAUCAAGCAAUGCCGCGUGAGUGAGGAAGGCCUUAGGGUUGUAAAGCUCUUUUACCCGGGAUGAUAAUGACAGUACCGGGAGAAUAAGCUCCGGCUAACUCCGGG
rnacentral:rRNA from 1 species